GUGCUAACGUCCGUCGUGAAGAGGGAAACAACCCAGACCGCCAGCUAAGGUCCCAAAGUCAUGGUUAAGUGGGAAACGAUGUGGGAAGGCCCAGACAGCCAGGAUGUUGGCUUAGAAGCAGCCAUCAUUUAAAGAAAGCGUAAUAGCUCACUGGUCGAGUCGGCCUGCGCGGAAGAUGUAACGGGGCUAAACCAUGCACCGAAGCUGCGGCAGCGACACUGUGUGUUGUUGGGUAGGGGAGCGUUCUGUAAGCCUGCGAAGGUGGCCUGUGAGGGUUGCUGGAGGUAUCAGAAGUGCGAAUGCUGACAUAAGUAACGAUAAAGCGGGUGAAAAGCCCGCUCGCCGGAAGACCAAGGGUUCCUGUCCAACGUUAAUCGGGGCAGGGUGAGUCGACCCCUAAGGCGAGGCCGAAAGGCGUAGUCGAUGGGAAACGGGUUAAUAUUCCCGUACUUGGUGUUACUGCGAAGGGGGGACGGAGAAGGCUAUGUUGGCCGGGCGACGGUUGUCCCGGUUUAAGCGUGUAGGUGUGUGUUCCAGGUAAAUCCGGUUCACUUUAACACUGAGGCGUGACGACGAGGCACUACGGUGCUGAAGCAACAAAUGCCCUGCUUCCAGGAAAAGCCUCUAAGCAUCAGGUAACAUCAAAUCGUACCCCAAACCGACACAGGUGGUCAGGUAGAGAAUACCAAGGCGCUUGAGAGAACUCGGGUGAAGGAACUAGGCAAAAUGGUGCCGUAACUUCGGGAGAAGGCACGCUGACACGUAGGUGAAGUGAUUUACUCAUGGAGCUGAAGUCAGUCGAAGAUACCAGCUGGCUGCAACUGUUUAUUAAAAACACAGCACUGUGCAAACACGAAAGUGGACGUAUACGGUGUGACGCCUGCCCGGUGCCGGAAGGUUAAUUGAUGGGGUCAGCGCAAGCGAAGCUCCUGAUCGAAGCCCCGGUAAACGGCGGCCGUAACUAUAACGGUCCUAAGGUAGCGAAAUUCCUUGUCGGGUAAGUUCCGACCUGCACGAAUGGCGUAAUGAUGGCCAGGCUGUCUCCACCCGAGACUCAGUGAAAUUGAACUCGCUGUGAAGAUGCAGUGUACCCGCGGCAAGACGGAAAGACCCCGUGAACCUUUACUAUAGCUUGACACUGAACAUUGAGCCUUGAUGUGUAGGAUAGGUGGGAGGCUUUGAAGUGUGGACGCCAGUCUGCAUGGAGCCGACCUUGAAAUACCACCCUUUAAUGUUUGAUGUUCUAACGUGGACCCGUUACCCGGGUUGCGGACAGUGUCUGGUGGGUAGUUUGACUGGGGCGGUCUCCUCCUAAAGAGUAACGGAGGAGCACGAAGGUUGGCUAAUCCUGGUCGGACAUCAGGAGGUUAGUGCAAUGGCAUAAGCCAGCUUGACUGCGAGCGUGACGGCGCGAGCAGGUGCGAAAGCAGGUCAUAGUGAUCCGGUGGUUCUGAAUGGAAGGGCCAUCGCUCAACGGAUAAAAGGUACUCCGGGGAUAACAGGCUGAUACCGCCCAAGAGUUCAUAUCGACGGCGGUGUUUGGCACCUCGAUGUCGGCUCAUCACAUCCUGGGGCUGAAGUAGGUCCCAAGGGUAUGGCUGUUCGCCAUUUAAAGUGGUACGCGAGCUGGGUUUAGAACGUCGUGAGACAGUUCGGUCCCUAUCUGCCGUGGGCGCUGGAGAACUGAGGGGGGCUGCUCCUAGUACGAGAGGACCGGAGUGGACGCAUCACUGGUGUUCGGGUUGUCAUGCCAAUGGCACUGCCCGGUAGCUAAAUGCGGAAGAGAUAAGUGCUGAAAGCAUCUAAGCACGAAACUUGCCCCGAGAUGAGUUCUCCCUGAGACUUAGAGUCUCCUGAAGGAACGUUGAAGACGACGACGUUGAUAGGCCGGGUGUGUAAGCGCAGCGAUGCGUUGAGCUAACCGGUACUA
rnacentral:rRNA from 1 species